UGGGGAAUAUUGCACAAUUGGCGCAAGCCUGAUGCAGCCAUGCCGCGUGUAUGAAGAAGGCCUUCGGGUUGUAAAGUACUUUCAGCGGGGAGGAAGGGAGUAAAGUUAAUACCUUUGCUCAUUGACGUUACCCGCAGAAGAAGCACCGGCUAACUCCGUGCCAGCAGCCGCGGUAAUACGGAGGGUGCAAGCGUUAAUCGGAAUUACUGGGCGUAAAGCGCACGCAGGCGGUUUGUUAAGUCAGAUGUGAAAUCCCCGGGCUCAACCUGGGAACGGCAUCUGAUACUGGCAAGCUUGAGUCUCGUAGAGGGGGGUAGAAUUCCAGGUGUAGCGGUGAAAUGCGUAGAGAUCUGGAGGAAUACCGGUGGCGAAGGCGGCCCCCUGGACGAAGACUGACGCUCAGGUGCGAAAGCGUGGGGAGCAAACAGG
rnacentral:rRNA from 1 species